rnacentral:lncRNA from 1 species
UAUAGGGAUUUUUCAGCUCCCUUAAAAUCUUACGGAACCACCACUGUGUAUGUAGUCUGGUCAUUGAAACAUCCUUACGCGGUGCAUUACUGAAAUCUUGAAACUUGAAAUACCCAUAAUAUCUUGGGCAAUGUCAGGGAAAUGCACUAAUGGGAAGGGCAGUCCCCAAACUGUAAACACAAAGAAAAACAAUGAUGACACAUUGUGGACCGGCAAGAUGAUCCCUUGAUAACUGAGUGGAAAUCGGAAGCUGCAGGGGAGAUUUGUUGUUCUCAGGCAUAGAGUGGCUGCGGGUUGGCCUGAUGUCAAUGGCAGGACUCUACAGGGGUAAGAGAAUCCAGGGAGGCUUCUGUGCACUGCUUGGUCAGGUGUCCAAGUUACACAGACUCGCAGAAUCUCACAGGUGUCUUAGAAUUUCUCUUCCUGGGACUCUCAGAGGAUCCAGAACUGCAGCCCGUCCUCGUUGGGCUGUUCCUGUCCAUGUACCUGAUCACGGUGCUGGGGAACCUGCUCAUCAUCCUGGCCAUCAGCUGUGACUCCCACCUCCACACCCCCAUGUACUUCUUCCUCUCCAACUUGUCCUUGGCUGACAUCGGACUCACCUCUGCCACCAUCCCUAAGAUGAUUGUUGAUAUGCAAUCUCACAGCAGAAUCAUCUCCUAUGAGAGCUGCCUGAUGCAGAUGUCUUUAUCUAUUUUGUGUGUAUGAAUGACAUGGUCCUGACUGUGAUGGCCUAUGACCAGUUUGUGGCCAUUUGUCACCCCCUACGCUACCCAGUCAUCAUGAAUCCCCAUCUCUGUGUCUUCUUAGUUUUGGUGUCUUUUAUUCUUAGCCUGUUGAACUCCCAGCUGCACAAUCAGAUUGUGUUACAAUUCACCUGCUUCAAGAAUGUGGAAAUCUUUAAUUUUUUCUGUGAGCCAUCUCAACUUCUCGACCUUGCCUGUUCUGACAGUGUCAUCAAUAACAUAUUCAUGUAUUUAGAUAGUGUUAUAUUUGGUUUUCUUCCCAUCUCAGGGAUCCUUUUGUCUUACUAUAAAAUUGUCUCCUCCAUUCUAAGAAUUCCAUCAUCAGAUGGGAAGUAUAAAGCCUUCUCCACAUGUGGCUCUCACCUGGCAGUUGUUUGCUUAUUUUAUGGAACAGGACUUGGAGCCUACCUCAGUUCAGCUGCGUCCUCUUUCCCCAGGAAGGGUGCGGUCACCUCAGUGAUGUACACUGUGGUCAUCCCUAUGCUGAACCCCUUCAUCUACAGCCUGAGAAACAGGGACAUUAAAAGUGCCCUGUGGAGGCUGCACAGCAGAACAGUCUAAUCUCAUUAUCUGUUCCAUCCUUUCUGUAGUGGGGGCUGAAAUAUAUGGCAAAAUCAAACAUGUC